AAUAACUAUUUAAGGGAUUAUAACUUGGACUUCCAAUAUGUCGACAUGGGUAAACAGCCUCAAGUUAACUUUGUUAUGCAGGUUGUUGAGAGCAAUAUGAUGAGGGAAGGCAGGAAAGAGUACCAGUCUUAUAGUCUGUAUGUACUCGUGGCAAAAUGGUGUUCGAGAGGUGGCGAAUAAGGAUUUGCUUGCAGCAUUGAAGAACGAUAAUACAUGCUGCUGCAUGUAUAUGUUAAAGUGUUUUAUUCACUGAGGCACUUCCAGUCAUAUUCGAAAAGACUACCAACAUGCCAUAUGAAGUGGCUGAGAAAAUACCAUUUGGUUCCAUACAGAGGAAGUUCAUUUCAUCACUAACGACUCGGACAGAAUGCUUCCACUGUAGAGCAAAGCCUGGAAAGAUUGAAGGACAGAUUUGGGAAAAGGAAAGCAGCCAUGAAGGUGAUGAAAUAACCCAGUCCAAUUUGAUUGAAAUUGUUGAACAGAUGUUUCCAGAUGUGAAAGUCAGGUUAGGGUGCCUGGCUGAGGAAGGAAGAUGUUGUCGCAGUUGAGCGAAGUGUUGAAAGAUUAAAUUUCGAGUUUGAAAACGAAAUGAAGGUGGACCAGUGGUCAACCUCCUUGGAGAAGGGCCUCACUUUGAGAAAGCCACCCAUGCCUGGUUCCACAGGUCACUUUCCUUUUCCUAUGGAGCUCGUCCUUCUAAAGAGCAGCCCACUGAUCAAUGUUCACCAGGAACACAGCUUCUCAGCCAUUCAGACCCACAGAGACCCCUGAUUGAAGACAGGGUUUUAACAAGUGCAUUGAAAAUGACAUUGCCUUCACUGAUAGUGACAAUGUAAAACUCCAGAUGUGUCUGUGUUACCAUCACGGAAUUAUGACAGCAUAACCCCCCGAUAUUGAUGUUUUAUUUAAUUAUUAUUACAUCUAUUCCUGUUAUUGACCUUCACCACCAGUCUUGGGUUAAAUUUUCUUUGAUUUGACUGAAAUUAUUUUCACAGUCCAAUGCAUAUGUACCAGGGACCUGCUGAAAUUCAGCAAGAGCUUAUCAGCAGCGCAAAUCGUUAUUUGUGUAUGUUAGUUACUGUAAAUACUGACAAGCUUUGGGCCCAGACUCUUGACCAUCACAAAUUAGGGUCAUUGUUGAUCUAAUCUUGUUUCAGCCUUGGUGAUCUCUAUUCACCCUUUAAGCAAUGGGAAACACGUAGUUUAGUGUUGUUCAAUUUUAAAACACAACA